AAUAAAUGUAAUUAAGAUAAAAAGAGAUUAAAUGAUAAAUCAUUAAAUUUAAAAAAUUUGGCGGUACUUAUAAUUUAGAGGAAUCUGUAUAGUAAUCGAUAAUCCACGAUAAGAAAUACUUAUUAAAAGUUUAUGUAUUGCUGUUUUAAAUAUUUAAUUGAGUUAAAUAUAAUAAAAUUUAUUAAGUUAAUAAAAUAAUUCAAGUCAAAAUAUAGCUUUUUUAAGAUUUAAUAUGGAUUACAAUUAAUUUAAUUAUUAUUUGAAUUAUAAAAUUUAAUUUUUAUAUGAAAGUGGAUUUAAAAGUAAAUUUAAUUAAUUUAUUAAAUUGAAUUAUUAAUAUAAGUAUGU
rnacentral:rRNA from 1 species